rnacentral:rRNA from 1 species
AAGACCUUGCACUUUUGGAGCGGCCGAUGUCUGAUUAGCUAGUUGGUGGGGUAAUGGCCUACCAAAGCUUCGAUCAGUAGCUGGUCUGAGAGGACGGCCAGCCACACUGGGACUGAGACACGGCCCAGACUCCUACGGGAGGCAGCAGUGGGGAAUUUUGGACAAUGGGCGCAAGCCUGAUCCAGCCAUGCCGCGUGAGUGUAGAAGGCCUUCGGGUUGUAAAGCUCUUUCAGCCGGGAAGAAAAGGUUGCGAUUAAUAAUCGUAAUUUAUGACGGUACCGGAAGAAGAAGCACCGGCUAACUACGUGCCAGCAGCCGCGGUAAUACGUAGGGUGCGAGCGUUAAUCGGAAUUACUGGGCGUAAAGGGUGCGCAGGCGGUUUUGUAAGUCAGAUGUGAAAUCCCCGGGCUUAACCUGGGAACU